CGCCGGAAACCUAAGGUUUCCUGGGUAAAGGUCAUCUGCCCAGGGUUAGUCGGUCUCUAAGAUGAGGCGGAAGCGCGUAGUCGAUGAGAAUCCGGUUCAUAUUCCGGAACCAUAUAUAAGAACGAAGGGAUGACGCAUGAGGUGGAGCACUGCCGGCUGACGGAAUAGCCGGUUGACCUAGCGAGCUUAAGAGGUAGCGAGGCAAAUCCAGCUACUGAGGUGAGCUAGGGAGGGAGGGAAGCUACGGUGGAACGAAGUGUGCCGAAUCAAGGUGCCAAGAAAGAGUCUCUAAGGCUAACUUAUAUAUGACCGUACCGUAAACGGACACACGUAGGUAGGAUGAGAAAUCUAAGGCGCUCGAGAGAACUCGCGUUAAGGAACUCGGCAAAAUGCACACGUAACUUAGGGAGAAGUGUGGCCUAUUGAGAGAUAGGUUGCAGAAAAUAGGCCCAGGCGACUGUUUACCAAAAACACAGGACUCUGCGAACGCGCAAGCGGAAGUAUAGGGUCUGACGCCUGCCCGGUGCUGGAAGGUUAAGAGGAGGGGUUAGCAGGUAACUGCGAAGCUCUGAAUUGAAGCCCCAGUAAACGGCGGCCGUAACUAUAACGGUCCUAAGGUAGCGAAAUUCCUUGUCGGGUAAGUUCCGACCCGCACGAAUGGUGUAACGAUCUGGGCACUGUCUCGACGCGAGACUCGGUGAAAUUUAAGUACCGGUAAAGAUGCCGGUUACCCGUGGUUAGACGGAAAGACCCCAUGAACCUUUACUGUAGCUUAUCAUUGGGACUUGGCUUUACAUGUGUAGGAUAGGUGGGAGACUAGGAAGCAUGGCCGCUAGGCUGUGUGGAGUCGUUGGUGAAAUACCACCCUUGUAAGGCUAGGUUUCUAACUUAGUUUGUAAAGCCAGGCUAGGGACAGUGGUAGGUGGGCAGUUUGACUGGGGCGGUCGCCUCCUAAAAGGUAACGGAGGUGCGCGAAGGUUGCCUUGCGCUGGGUGGAAAUCAGCGCUUAAAGUGUAAAGGCAUAAGGCAGCUUGACUGCGAGUCUGACAGGACGAGCAGGUACGAAAGUAGGUCUUAGUGAUCUGGCGGUAGCGAGUGGAAGCGCCGUCACUUAACGGAUAAAAGGUACUCUGGGGAUAACAGGCUGAUCUUGCCCAAGAGUUCAUAUCGACGGCAAGGUUUGGCACCUCGAUGUCGGCUCAUCGCAUCCUGGGGCUGGAGCAGGUCCCAAGGGUUUGGCUGUUCGCCAAUUAAAGCGGUACGUGAGCUGGGUUCAGAACGUCGUGAGACAGUUCGGUCCCUAUCUGCCACGGGCGUUGGAUGGUUGAGAGGAGCUGCUUUUAGUACGAGAGGAUCGAAGUGGACGAACCUCUGGUGUACCAGUUAUCCUGCCAAGGGUAAGUGCUGGGUAGCUAAGUUCGGAAGGGAUAACCGCUGAAAGCAUCUAAGUGGGAAGCCCACCUCAAGAUGAACCAUCCCUGGGGAUUAAAUCCCCCUUAAGGUACCAGACAGACUAUCUGGUCGAUAGGCUGGAGGUGGAAGUGCGGUAACGCAUGGAGCCGACCAGUACUAAUCUACCGUGAGGCUUGACC
rnacentral:rRNA from 1 species